rnacentral:snoRNA from 1 species
UUUACUGUCUGUGAGGACUUUAAACUUUUUUCCCCAUCAGAGUGACUGUGUUGAUUUCUUUGCUGUUAGCCAGGGUCUGUCUGAGGCACUGGG